UUUUCUUUUGUUCAACCAGGGGAAAGAAUUUGAAAACUAAGGUGAUUGGGUGUCCAAAAACCAUUGAUGGUGACUUGAAAUGCAAAGAAGUCCCAAUAAGUUUUGGCUUUGAUACUGCUUGCAAGAUAUAUGCAGAAAUGAUUGGAAAUGUCAUGAUAGAUGCCAGAUCAACUGGAAAAUAUUAUCACUUUGUGCGGCUUAUGGGGCGUGCAGCUUCAC